UCUUUUUUUAUUUGAGGUUUUCUGAAACAAAAAUAACAUCUCACAACCCUCCACAAUAACAAAGCUGGUCGGGUCAAAAGAGUCCCCAUCUUCUUCCUCGUUGGUUUGUGGCAGCAGCCGAUUGUUGGUUUGUUUGCGCUUCAUUUAACUUAAUGUAAAUUUCACUCAUUACUAGUUGUUUUUCCUUCUUUUUAAUAUGUGUGUUGUUAACAUGUAAUUAUUGUAGGUACUUAUAUAUAGUCAACAUCAAUACAUAAUAUAAAUAAAUACAUUCAUAUCAGUUAUUAUUAUGACCAUAAACUCAAACAACGUUAUUGCAUUUGUGGCUUUUAUUAAUCUCUGUGCUCGUGUUUGAGUGUAAGCGGAACCAAAGUCACUCAAUUCGGUUUCCGGUAGGACCACAACAAAAGGGGACUUCCGGCGUAGCCUUUUCUCGCUGGAUAACAAUGGCUUUCCCGGAGUUAAAACAAAAGUUAUCGAAGUGGUUUAAUGACAAACAAUCGAUUAAAAAACCCAGAGCGUCGGAAGUAUGUUAAAAGUGGCUAUGAUCGAUUCACUUGAAUUAUAAAACCGCGUCUCGCAACCCUUAAGCUAGUUAGCUUACCGAUGCUAACUUAACGCACCUUUAACAGUUGCUGAAAGCAUAUCAACACAGCAGUGUUACGUUAGCUUCGCCUCAUGGCCGCUCUCGCCCCCCCCAUCCCGUCCCCUCUGGCCUCCUUCCUCUGCGCGUUGCUCCCCCGGGGCUUUGCCCUGGGGCCAUCGAGGCUCUGCGGGGGCCGGGUGGGGCUGUGGUGGGUUGGCCGCCCGCUGGAGGCCGGAUUCCUGCUGGGGAAGGAGGGGGACACGGAGUGGGCCUCUGGGGGUCACCUGGACUCGAGGACACCCAGCCGGGACGGUGAACCCGGGGAUGCAGAGAAGGCCCUGAUGGAAGUGGCAACAAAUAAAGAAGCUUCGCUACAAAGAGCCGUCUGGAUCACAUUUGCCCGCCGGGCGCCGCACGACCAGUGGAAUGUGUCGCGGCAGUGCGGCUGCAGGGAGGCGUGCGUGGCCGAGUGCGAGGAGGCGUGUCUGCGCGUGUGUCGGGACAUCAGGCCGGGAACAGAGCUGCUGCUGAGCGGGGGCGACGCCGAAGGAGAGAGGCCGACGACCGACUCGCCCAAAGACGUGGAGACGGAGCACAACAGCGACUCAGAUGCCGGCAACCUUACCGCCAUUCGAGAGACAGAAGACAGAGGGGAGGAAGAGGCAGAAGAGGAGGAGGAAGGAAGACCAAAGUCCGUCAAGAGAAGUCCUCCAACCAACCACCUGAGGAACCGGAGGGCCAAGAGAACUGGACGCGGCGUCCCAGCGGCAGACGGACAGACGGGCGGAGCGCCUGGCGUCCCGUCUCCUGCGGACGGUCGGGAACCCGCAGCCGCUCCCGUCCGCUGCAGCUCGCGCCUCGCCUCCAAACCGCGGCGCGUUCACCAUCCGUCCGUGUCCCUCGCAGAGGGGGCGGAGCUCGAGAGGGCGACCGAGGCCGCGUGCGUUGCCAAGGAGACGGGUGUGUCGUGGGACCCGGAGAUCAGAGAGAGGCGGUACAGGUGCUCCACCUGCGGGAAGAAGUUCUACCAGAUGGGCCACCUGAAGAAGCACCAGUUCAGCCACACGGAGGAGAAACCCUUCAGCUGCCAGCAGUGUGGGAAGAACUACACCUCUGGCGAGAGCUUCAGAGCCCAUCAGAUGAGUCACCGUGGCGAGCGCCCCUUCCCGUGCCCCCACUGCGAGAAGGCCUACGGCCUGAAGCGGGACCUCAAGGAGCACCUGGUCCUGCACAGCGGGGAGAAACCCUACGUCUGCGAGCACUGCGGCAAGGCGUUCGCUCGCCGGCCCUCGCUGCGCAUCCACCGCCUCUCUCACUGCAGCAGGAGGGUCCACACCUUGUGUCGGAAGGUGCAGUGCACGGUCUGCACGAAGCUGCUGGCAAACUCGGGCUCUCUGAAGAACCACAUGAAGCUCCACACGGGAGAGAAACCGUACGUCUGUCAGCACUGUGGGAGGAGCUUCAGUCAAAAAGGGAACCUGGAGGCCCACGUGAGGACUCACAACGGGGAGAAGCCGUUUGCCUGCAGCGAGUGCGACCACAGCUUCUCCCAGAUGCCGGACCUGCGUCGGCACAUGUUCUCGCACACCGGCGGAGGCUUCCUCUGCAGCUACUGCGGGAAGUCGCUGAGUGACGUGCACACCCUGAGGUCCCACGAGAGGCUGCACACAGGAGAAAGACCCCACCGCUGCCCCGUGUGUGGGAAAGGCUACACGUUGGCCACCAAGCUGCGGAGACACGUUAAGUCGUCCCACCAGGUGGAAAAGCCGUACAGCUGCCACUGCGGCGCCUCGUACACCGUGAGACAAAGUCUGCAGAGGCACCAAGCCCAGCACCGGAAAGAGGGCGGAGCUCGGGGGGAGGCGAAGGCGGGGAAAGACGACGGAGAGGAGGCGGAGCCGGAGGAGGAGGCGGCGGCUUCCAGCUCCGGCCACCACAGGCCGAUCAGAGGCCGACCCAAGAGGACGCCGCUCCCUCCGGGCGAGGAGGGGCGAGUGAGGCGGGGCAGGGGGCGAGGGAAAGUGGAGGAGAAGGACGCGAGGAAGGAAACCGGGGCGGAGACGGGAGGAGACGAGGAGGCCCCGGGUGGCGUCCGCCACGUCGUCCUCGUCCACGCGGACGGCCUGGCCGCGGGGGGCCCGCCGCCCGCCUACGCGGGGCACCAGCUGGUGGAGGUGGUGAUAUCGCAGGACGCGGAGCAGUGCAUUGUGGUCCACGGGCAGCCGAGCGUCGGAGAGCUGCUGAUCCUGCAGGAGGACGGGGGGGGGCUCUGCUCUGUGGCGCAGACGGUGGAGAUAAACACGGGGUAGUUGAACUUUUGAAGCGUUUGUAGGAAAUUGUUCUUCUUCUUUUGAGCAGCUUCUCUCCCGGAGCAGAGUUCUACUGCGGCAAGAGGACGGGCCCGGCGCCUAAAGGACCCGGGCUUUUAUUGUGAAGGUCCUACAACAAGUUGAAUGCGCUGUAGGGAAGAAGAGCAAGGAAAUGAAAUGCGUGUCUCUGCCUCAUCCGAUCGCAGAGGGUCACGUGAGAAAGAGGAACCUGGGAGGCCGACCUCAUCUGCAUCUCUUCGCUCUUUGCACAGAGCAGAACUCAUUAAGAUGCCACGAGCCGCCGGGCGUAAGCGGAGGAGGUGAGAGACGUUGACUGAGAGGAGUCCUGCGCCUCACUUACGUGACGUUACAAGCAUGUCCCAGUAAACACCCCUCCACCCCCCCCCCACCCCCUCCCCCACUCCUCGUGACACAACAGACGCUUCUGUUGUGACGUGGACGAGUUCUGCAAAAUAAAAUGAAAAUAAAACCCGAGUGCAGCUGCUUCUUUACCCGAGCAGUGUGUUGAGUUUCUCGUGCGCACAGCCAACACCCCCCACCCCCCCCAAGUGUUUUCCCAAAAGCAAUCGAACACCUUGAAAUGAACAAGAGCUGAAGUUUCAUUUGCUCUCUUAUUUUAUCCGUGACGUUUCUGGUGACGAGGAUGCGAUGAAGCCCGGGGUCAAAAACUACUGCAGAGACCAGAAGGCAAAUUAGGAGACAAUUUAUCAUUCACGCUGCAUACAGGUCAGUGCAGACUCUACAUACUAUAUAGACUCUGUGGCCGUAGUGCAGCGAUGGAUCUAAUCUGAGGCUCAGCAGGUGGCCUGUUGGGUGAAGCCACUUGCUAUGCUGAUUGAAGGGAAAUCUUUGAUAUAUUCAGUGCAUGACCUGUAUAUAAGUGGACAGAGAUUUGUUGGACUGCAGUUUUGGAACGUUCAGUUCAGCGUGCUCGAUUGUCUGUUUGAUUCCAAAUGGACCAUCAUUUACUAAAUGCUGUAUUGGAAAAUGCCUUAAACAUGAGACUGAGACCAUAAACUCAUGUUUAAAUAAAUCAAGAAAGAAGUAGUCAUUACCUCAUAGACGUCUAUGGGAGCAGAGGAGUCGCCCCCUGCUGGUCACUACACAGAAGUAGAGUCAUUUCCUCAUAGACGUCUAUGGGAGCAGAGGAGUCGCCCCCUGCUGGUCACUACACAGAAGUAGAGUCAUUUCCUCAUAGACGUCUAUGGGAGCAGAGGAGUCGCCCCCUGCUGGUCACUACACAGAAGUAGAGUCAUUUCCUCAUAGGAGGAGUUACGCAGCUGUUAUAGUUAUUCUUAGCAUUAAAGAAAAGUAGGAAAACAUUAGCACAACAGCUAGUUAUUAAUGUGCUACAAGUCACUCUGUUCAAUGUAUCCCAGUAUUAUUGAUAAAGGCCUCUCAAUGUGCCCUGAGGUUUAGUGGUACUUUGUUGUUAGAAGUAGUCGGUAGUACUAAAUACUCCUUGACUGUAAAUCAAAAUUAGAGGGACGGUUUCUUGGAUAGCUGUGGAUAUUGUUUAAAUAAAUAAAUUAUUCAAACGGCUCAAAGUUUACUUCUCGGCUUCGCAGAGACUUCUAAGCAGGCUGUUCCGUCCUCUGGGUCUGAGUAUGCAGAGAUAAAUUAGGGGGGGAUCAGUCUUUCUCUCUUCCCACAAAGACUCAUGGGCCCUUGAGCAAGGCCUUCUUCUCCUCCCGUGAAAGCUCUCCGAUGUAAAUCCUCACACACACUUUCUCCCAAAUCCUCCACAGCUCACGUUGAGCCGUCUUUUAAAGCAACAAAAAAAUAUAUAUAUAUGUAACAACCCAGAAAGUGUUGAGGUUUGGUAUUCUAACCCCGGCAGAGACGCGGUGAGCCGGGUCCAGCUCAGCCUCCGGCGUCACCCACACACCAGCUAAAGUUAGCCGAGGUAGGACUCCUUGUCCAAACCAAAUCCUUUUAAGUAGACGGAUGAGAGGGUGUUGUUACCCAGCUUCUCCCCUUUUAGCCUCGCAGGAGACCGGGAGGGGGGGGGGACUGCUUCAUUAAUAUUGAUCACGUGGCCUCUACCUACUUACUGCUGCCUGUGCAUGAAGGCAAUUGUUUGCUCUACGGUUGUAAACCACAGCAGCUGGAAUCCGCCUUGAAAACAACAACAUAGUACUUGUCAAAAACACAUGGGGGAGCCAGACCGUUGCCCGGGGCAACGUAUCCGCUCAAGUGUUCAUAAAUGUUACCUUUUUUGAGGGAUUAGUGGAGUUUUGGUGCGAGCGCCUGCAGCACAGAACCAAGACUAACUGGUGCAUGUUGGUAGCGGGUUUAAGAAAAGAUCAUACUGAAAAACCUCUGGGUCUCUUCUUGGGGUCGAAUCCCGUCCCACAACAUCUAAUGCAAACACACGGACUUCCUGCUAAACCAGGAUCAGGGGGGGGGGGGGCUCCUCAGGUCCCAUAGAAGUCUACGAGAAAAUAACUUCUCUCUUGAUUUAUUCCCUCGGUAAACAUUGUAAACACGAGUUUAUGGUCUCAGUCUGUGGUUUCAAGUUCAGGAAAUGGUGGUCCGUUUAGAGUCCGGAGGGGGGGGCUUACUGUGAUUGACAGGUCUCCACCAAAGCCGCGUGGACCCACGUACACAUGGUGCCGUUGACUGUGCCUGCGAGAUGACGUCCCCAGGCCGGAUUCUUCAUGUUGUGUGUGAUUCUAAGAGGAGUCCGUCCUCCGGAGCUGUUAACGGAGUGGAGAGUCGGUGAACAUCAUCAGCAGCAGUGUCACUCGGCGCAGCAACGACACGCAUGAAAGUGAGGACGUCUUGUUUCUUUUCUUUUUCUUUUCUGUUCUUUUCCUCCUCUGCUUCCCAUUUGGUCGUUUUCUUUUCGGUCUGUUUCUUCUCUACUUUUCCAUCCUUUCUUUCUGCCACAUCGACGUCUGUCGGCGUGCAGCACUAUGAGGGCACCGUGCAUUUCCAAUCGGGUUUCUGUCCUCGCUCCAACUUGCGCAUGUGAAUGCUUUUCUUUUCCCUCCCUCCUUUAUUUCCCUGCAUGUCGUUGGGAAUAAGUAGGCCAGUCUUAUUCCUUUAGUAUGUCAGCAUCUUGGCUCAGACGUGCUCUUAAAUUU